rnacentral:tRNA from 1 species
AACAAAGAAGUAAAAUUACAUUUAAUUUCGACUUAAAUAAAGAGAAAUAAUUCUCCAUGUUU